rnacentral:rRNA from 1 species
GACGAGCGCUGGCGGCGUGCUUAACACAUGCAAGUCGAACGGUAAGGCCCUUCGGGGUACACGAGUGGCGAACGGGUGAGUAACACGUGGGUGAUCUGCCCUGCACUUCGGGAUAAGCCUGGGAAACUGGGUCUAAUACCGGAUAGGACCACUGCCUGCAUGGGUGGUGGUGGAAAGCUUUUGCGGUGUGGGAUGGGCCCGCGGCCUAUCAGCUUGUUGGUGGGGGGAUGGCCUACCAAGGCGACGACGGGUAGCCGGGCUGAGAGGGUGACCGGCCACACGGGGACUGAGAUACGGCCCAGACUCCUACGGGAGGCAGCAGUGGGGAAUAUUGCACAAUGGGCGCAAGCCUGAUGCAGCGACGCCGCGUGAGGGAUGACGGCCUUCGGGUUGUAAACCUCUUUCAGCACCGACGAAGCGCAAGUGACGGUAGGUGCAGAAGAAGGACCGGCCAACUACGUGCCAGCAGCCGCAGUAA